rnacentral:lncRNA from 1 species
UAUGAUCAAAAUCCAUAACCCAUGAGGAAACGCAGAGAGGAUCAAGGCGCUAAAGAUUUAAUCUUUUUCCCCUUUUUUUCUUCGAUCUUCAGAUUGUCUUAAACAGCUAAAGAAAUAAAGUUUUCUGAAUCUGAACGAAGUAACAAAUGAUCAUACAAAUUCCGGUCUAAAAAUAAUAUUGCAUACGAAGAAUAGAAAAUAUCUGAACAAAAAUCUAAAACCAUAAACCGCUUAUUCGAAAGAACCCAAAGUCAUUUGUGAGGGAAAAAGAAGCCCUCGAAACCCCAAAGCCAUAGUUCGAUCAAUAUAAAGCAUGAAAUUUAGACCCAAGAAAAGGAGGAAAUAAACCGAGAUUCGAAUCGAGAAAGAGGAGAAGAAGUGCACCUGGGAGAGAGAAGAACAGGGUCAGCGAAAUAAGGAGAGGGCGACUUAGGGCGAAGCGCUGAGCAUCCACGUGUACUUAUAGGACGGGAAGAACGGGCUUUUUGCAGGCAAAGCCGGAGUGGGCGGCGAGCAGCGCACGGAGCGACCAGGUUUAGAUUUCAAGGUCCCGGCUUUCGACCAUGCUAAGCUUCUGCUUUUUUUUUUUUUAACUUUAUUAUUUUUAUUUUUAUUUUUAUUUUUUAAAGAGACUAAUGAAAUUGCGGCUGCUGAGAUAUUCGGAAAAAGUUGUGAAGAUUGCUUCUAGAUUUAUUGUUUCUAAGUUUAUUGGAUGUAUCCGUAAAUUAUUUAUUUU